rnacentral:rRNA from 1 species
UACAGAGGUGCCAAGCGUUAGGCGGAAUCACUGGGCUUAAAGCGUGUGUAGGCGGAUGCCUAAGUACCUUGUGAAAUCCCACGGCUCAACCGUGGAACUGCUGGGUAUACUGGGCGUCUUGGGCCAACUAGGGGUCGCUGGAACAAAUGGUGGAGCGGUGAAAUGCGUAGAUAUCAUUUGGAACGCCAAGGGCGAAAGCAAGCGACUGGGGUUGUGCCGACGCUGAGACACGAAAGCCAGGGGAGCGAACGGG